rnacentral:misc_RNA from 1 species
GUGCUUGAUACCCGGUAGAUUAGUGGAAUCAGUGCUUCGAUUACGAA